rnacentral:lncRNA from 1 species
GCCUUAGACCGAGUUCGGGUUAUUUUCUGGCCAGGAUUCUACCUUCUGUGAGCCUGAGGAUCCGUCAUCUGCGCACUCCAGUGGCCCAGCGGCCGCCCAGCUCCAGCUUCGGGGACGUUCUGGGCCUGGAUUGCAUCCGAGGGUGAUUGCGCCCACUUCCAGGGAGCAGGUUUUACCAGUGUCUGUUCUGGUCAGUGGAGUGCUGUUCUGGUCAGGAUGGUGAGGAGUAAUGAGGAUAAUGCAGGUAACACUGUCUAAAAGCACAUCACACCCUCAAGAAGGAACCUAGCAUUAACUCAGUGUUAAUACAGGUAACAACUCACAAGGAUCUGAAAACAUAACAUGAGGAAAAUCGCAGAAAAGAUCACGACCAACUAGAGUCCAUGUUUAAAAGCUGUAAACAAAGCCUUUGCCUGGCCAGAAAACGAAAGUAGUACACUGCAGGCUGGACAAUAACUUUAUAGCUCAAAAGCAGUGGUGAUUACAUCACAGUUGCCACAAUUCACAGAAGUGUAAUCUAAAGGUAUAUAAAGUUUAUUCUGCUCAAACUGUAAGUAAAAUAAUGUCCUCAAAAGUUGGCCGAAGUAGGGUGUCUGUUUUGGGGGAGAAGCUGCUGCUAGGGGGUAGGUGACUGAGAGACAAGCUGAUAGGAAAAAAAUAUUUACUGCUUAGGAAAUUUACAUGAGCCUUAAAAGCAUCCUUCUCAGAACUAAGUCCUCUAAGAGUAGAUUCACUCCAACAAUAGAAAGAAAAUAUCCUAAA